rnacentral:rRNA from 1 species
GUGUCAGCAGCCGCGGUAAUACGUAGGGACCAAGCGUUGUUCGGAUUUACUGGGCGUAAAGGGCGCGUAGGCGGUUUGUCAAGUCAGUUGUGAAAUCUCCGAGCUUAACUCGGAACGGUCAACUGAUACUGUCAAACUAGAGUACAGAAGGGGCAAUCGGAAUUCUUGGUGUAGCGGUGAAAUGCGUAGAUAUCAAGAGGAACACCUGAGGUGAAGACGGGUUGCUGGGCUGAUACUGACGCUGAGGCGCGAAAGCUAGGGUAGCAAACGGGAUUAGAUACCCCCGUAGUCC